rnacentral:rRNA from 1 species
GCCUGAUCCAGCCAUGCCGCGUGAGUGAUGAAGGCCUUCGGGUUGUAAAGCUCUUUCACCCACGACGAUGAUGACGGUAGUGGGAGAAGAAGCCCCGGCUAACUUCGUGCCAGCAGCCGCGGUAAUACGAAGGGGGCAAGCGUUGUUCGGAAUGACUGGGCGUAAAGGGCGCGUAGGCGGUUCGUUGCGUCAGAUGUGAAAGCCCCGGGCUCAACCUGGGAACUGCAUUUGAUACGGGCGGGCUUGAAUCCAAGAGAGGGUGGUGGAAUUCCCAGUGUAGAGGUGAAAUUCGUAGAUAUUGGGAAGAACACCAGUGGCGAAGGCGGCCACCUGGCUUGGUAUUGACGCUGAGGCGCGAAAGCGUGGGGAGCAAACAGGAUUAGAUACCCCGGUAGU